AGUGAACGCUGGCGGUAGGCCUAACACAUGCAAGUCGAACGGCAGCACAGGAGAGCUUGCUCUCUGGGUGGCGAGUGGCGGACGGGUGAGGAAUACAUCGGAAUCUGCCCAGUCGUGGGGGAUAACGUAGGGAAACUUACGCUAAUACCGCAUACGACCUUCGGGUGAAAGAGGGGGAUCGCAAGACCUCUCGCGAUUGGAUGAGCCGAUGUCGGAUUAGCUAGUUGGCGGGGUAACGGCCCACCAAGGCGACGAUCCGUAGCUGGUCUGAGAGGAUGAUCAGCCACACUGGAACUGAGACACGGUCCAGACUCCUACGGGAGGCAGCAGUGGGGAAUAUUGGACAAUGGGCGCAAGCCUGAUCCAGCCAUACCGCGUGGGUGAAGAAGGCCUUCGGGUUGUAAAGCCCUUUUGUUGGGAAAGAAAUCUUUCAGGCUAAUACCCUGGGAGGAUGACGGUACCCAAAGAAUAAGCACCGGCUAACUUCGUG
rnacentral:rRNA from 1 species